GAAACCAACAGGGAUUGCCCUAGUAACGGCGAGUGAAGCGGCAACAGCUCAAAUUUGAAAUCUGGCCCCAGGCCCGAGUUGUAAUUUGCAGAGGAUGCUUUUGGCAAAGCGCAUACCGAGUCCCCUGGAACGGGGCGCCACAGAGGGUGAGAGCCCCGUAUGGUACGACGCCGAGCCUCUGUAAAGCUCCUUCGACGAGUCGAGUAGUUUGGGAAUGCUGCUCUAAAUGGGAGGUAAAUUUCUUCUAAAGCUAAAUACCGGCCAGAGACCGAUAGCGCACAAGUAGAGUGAUCGAAAGAUGAAAAGCACUUUGAAAAGAGGGUUAAAUAGCACGUGAAAUUGUUGAAAGGGAAGCGCUCGUGACCAGACUUGCGCCGGGCGGAUCAUCCAGCGUUCUCGCUGGUGCACUCCGCCCGGCUCAGGCCAGCAUCGGUUUUCGCCGGGGGACAAAAGCUUCGGGAACGUGGCUCCCUUCGGGGAGUGUUAUAGCCCGUCGUUUAAUACCCCGGCGGGGACCGAGGACCGCGCUUCGGCAAGGAUGCUGGCGUAAUGGUCAUCAGCGACCCGUCUUGAAACACGGACCGAGGAGUCAAGCAUUAGUGCGAGUGUUUGGGUGUAAAACCCGCACGCGUAAUGAAAGUGAACGUAGGUGAGAGCUUCGGCGCAUCAUCGACCGAUCCUGAUGUUUUCGGAUGGAUUUGAGUAGGAGCAUUAACGCUUGGACCCGAAAGAUGGUGAACUAUACUUGAAUAGGGUGAAGCCAGAGGAAACUCUGGUGGAGGCUCGCAGCGGUUCUGACGUGCAAAUCGAUCGUCAAAUUUGAGUAUAGGGGCGAAAGACUAAUCGAACCAUCUAGUAGCUGGUUACCGCCGAAGUUUCCCUCAGGA
rnacentral:rRNA from 1 species